GGGCUUCACUGCACACAUAGGCACAAGAUCAGUUCACCUCUUUGCCGAUUGGUGAGUACCUGGAUCCUGGCUGUAUGCACCAUGGUCAUAAGAAGCACUCACAGUGAGUCAAUGAUGUGUGGAGAAUCCUCCUCUGAAGUGCUAUGGAUUUGUAAGCUCACAAUUUCCUGUCGCUUAACAGAAGUCUGCUCCUUUUCACUUUUCCUUUUUGCACCCAAUUCUUUCGCCACUGGAUGAAAGCAUUUUUUUCCUGACCCUGGGGAUGUUGGUCACGGAUGACUUUUGUUCCCUAGAGGUCAAUAUAUGACUUCUUUAUAUGUGUAGGAUAUAAAGGAAUUAGAUUAGUAAUCUUAUAAAAAAUGCUGUCCAGUUAAAAAUAUAUAUAUAUUCCUAAAGAAAGAAGAGUACUAUGUUAAAUCUGUUUGGUUUUCUUUAGUCAGCCACAUAAAUUAAACUUGGAAUCUCCCACGGGAUUUAAGUACUUUAGCACUUCUGUGGAGUACCUUCUCUUAACAGCAAUUUUGCAGCUAUUUUUGCCAUUUUUUCUGGUUGUAUUUAAUCCCUCAUUUCAUCUAAUCUCCAAACCCCAAGCUGUUUUGCAGUACUCACAGUCGACAUUUAUAAAGCUUAAUGUUUGGACCACACUCCUCGUUCCUGUCAAGGACAGAGCCUUGCAGAAAUUAGGAUACUUGCCACUUAUUGACUUUUCGCUGGAAUUAAAAAAAGGUUUUUCCUGAACCUAUUCGUUAUGUCUUAUUGAAACAUUGUAUUGAGGAAAGUGUGUUAAAUAUUCAAGAACACAGUGAAGAAUUAUUUUUUUUCAAAAACACAAAGGUUUUAAGUAAAAGUCCAAUAAUCAGAAUUUUGUCGGCUUUAUGAAAAGAUUUGACCUGCAAAUACAGAUUUUGCCAAUUGUAAUUUCUUUUUAAGAACAAUAAAAGAGCUGCAUUUUAAUAUUU